AGAUAAGCUCUCAGCCAAGGGAUGAAUUUCUUCACUUGGUCGUUCCUCACACUGAGACGUUCUGAUUUGGGGGUUAUUCCUCAAUUUUCUUGCUUCAAUCUGUUUGUCAACUUCAUUCUCGGUGUUUUAAUUUGGUCAUGGGUCCUCGCGAAUUCCAAAAGUGGGUUUUUUAAGUUUGAAUCUUCAAAGUUUGAAUUUUGAAUUCUCGCCUCCGGUAUUCCGACCUUCCAGCGGUCAAGUGAAGUAGCUCGGAUUGAUUCUCGUCAUUCCACUAGAGAUACAUGGCUUCUCUUUUGUGUUUCUAGUGGGAGGUGGUUCUGGAUUCCAGCAGUUGCCUUGUUAAUGUUCAUGGUUGGUCCUUACCACCAUCAGGUUUUAUUCCUUCUUCGUUGAAUAUUGUUUUGUUUGCAUUUACUUUCCCAUCUACCUAGAAUUGGGUAGGAAAAAAGUCAAAGCAGCAUUAAAAGUGGAUUCGCCAUCUAUCAAUGAGGUCCUACAAUCCUUUGGGAUUAAUCUUGAUUCUAGUAAGAAGCCAACAGUGAAGAAGGGUCUUACCAUAGACAAGAAGGUCAAUAAAAGCCUUCCAUUUGGUCCUUUUUCAUCGAAAGUAGGGCUUAAAUCAACUCAUGCUUCGCCUCAGAAAGAAGCAUCGAAGGGACCGUGCACUCCAAAUCAGAUGUUGCAGCUUCUGAGUUGUCCAAAUGAGGAGCAUUUGAAGAGGAAAUUGAAUCCCCAAGUGUGUCUCGGACGUUGGGCGAGGUCAAUACAGACUUGGAGUGCAAUUUGGUCAACCCUCGAACUAUAAGCUUGAAGGGCAAGGAAGAGAUUAAAAUGAAAAGCACUUCAACUAUAGCCGAGAUAGCAAAGAUUGAACAAAGACCGAUUGACAAAGGUAGGGCCUCGCGGGUUGGAUUGUUCAAAGAUAACAGGAAUCAAGAUAAGGGAUUGACCCUCUAAACAAUAGAAAACGUUCCAUAUGUUAUUGAGAUUGAUCAACAAGAGCUGGAUGAUAUCAAAUCGACCUAGGGUUUCUGCUUGGUUGGACAUUUCGUUGGCAAAUUUCAAGGUAUUGAGGUAUUAAUAAUGGAGAAGGCAUGAUCAGCUUUGUUCUAAAUGCCAGGUAAGGAAAAAUCUAUAGCAAAAAGGGAGUCUAGUGGGGCUUGAAAUGGAUUUUAGCUGUGUACAGAAAUCUACCAUCGACCUAAAGAUUUUAGGAUUUGUGUGGAGGGCUGGUGUCAAAGGUUAUUUAUUUUUGUAUGUUGUUGGCGCCCUUAUUUAUUUUGAAAAGUAUAUGGCUUUUAAAGCCUUAAGAAAUGUUGUAUGAAUUGUAAUACCCGGGAAUAAUUUGAGGAUAAAAAUGAUAUUUGAUAAAGGGCAUAAAUGGAAUUUUGGAAAAAAUAAGACUAUAGGGUACACUAACACAGUUUUGGACGACCGAAUUAGUCGGAGGGAGUACCCCAAACCCUAGAUAGCCAAGGAAAAUGGUAUAGUAUCAUCGAGUAAAAUAAAUUAUGAUUUUUAGUGAUGAAAGAAAUGAGAUCGGGAACAGUUUUUGGUACAGCAAAAAUACAGCUGCCAAUUAGAUCGUAUUAUCGAAUUGUUAUAGACGAUAUCCGAAAAAUCAACAGAGUGUCUAGGACUAAUAUUUGAUGUAUAGAACAACCCUUAAGUGAUUUCAGGUUGAAUCAAGUGGAUUUGAAGUCAAAAUGAUCAAUCGGGCCUAAGUAUAAUUUUCUAAAUUUGCCCGAGGGAGGUCAAAACGGUAAUUUUCCAAAAGUUUCAAGGGAGAAAUGAGAAGUACUAAUCUGGUGGGUCUUAGUGGUAUAGUUGGAUAAUUAAGGGGCUUGAGGAUAAGGGCCAAAAUAUAAAAUGAAGUUGAAGGGGGGCCAAAAUACAAUUUCUGGAAAUCUGCCAAAGUAUGGCAGAUCUAGCCGCGGAUUUGGCCAGAAAAUCUGGAAGAUUGGCGGCCAAGUUUCAUCAGGGCAUGGGCAAGGACAGCCUGGGAGGCGUGUGGGAAGAGAUUUAGUCGGAAAUCGACCACGUGGGGGUCGAAUUUGGCCUAUAAAUGUCAAGGGUUUUUGGCUGAAUUUGGAGCAUCAAAUUGCUCGAUUUUGAGGGUAAAUCGAGGGAAGCCAAUAAGGGGCUUUUGAUCCUUGAGGGAAGAGGAUCAUUUCUGGAGAUUUUGGGAAUUUUUGGAGUAGUAUAGAGGGUGUUUUCGCAUAUAUAUACAUUCGGCCGUAUAUAUAUAUAUAUACAUAUUGCGUGAAGUUUCAAAUCGGAUUGUAAAGUGAUCGAUCGAGCGAUCUAAUAAGGGGCUUUUGGUCGCAAGGCUAUGGGUAGAAAAUCUGGAAAGUUUCAUGUCAAUCGGAGUUCGAAUCGAAGGCCAAUUUGACUCGUCGGAGUUCGGUGGCGGGAUAGCUUCGGCCGACUGUUUUCGACCAAAUCGGAAGGCUUCCGGUGGUUUUUUUCAAGCAAGAUAGGUACCAUUGGGAUCGACUAAGGGAGAGGAAUAGCCUAGUCUCGACGCUUCAAUUUUUCGGUGUGCCGUCGCCGGAGAAGAUGACUAGAGGUAUUUUUUGUAUUUUUUUAAAUUCUGAAAAUAUAGAAAAUUCGAUAAAAAAAAAUAGAAUUAAAGGAAUUAAAAUUCUGAAAAAAUAUCCAGAAAUUCAAGGAAAAGGAAUAGUUUAUUUUGAUAAAUUUUUAUCUUGGAAAUUUCUUGAGGAGAUAAUUAAUUUGGAUUUUUGAAAGGAAAGGUAAAUAGAAAAUAAAUAGGAGAAAUUUUUAUAAAAUUCUAAGAAAAUUACAUAAGGAUAAGGAAUUUAUUUUAUGAAUUUUGGUGAUUUUUCUUGAAGUAGAUUCGAAGGAAAUCAAUGAGAAAUAAAUUUUCUCAAGAAAAAGUAAUUAUAGAAAUUUGAGAAAAUAGGAGAAAAAUCUGGAAAAUUUUCAGAAAAUUCCAUAGGCUUAUAAAUAUUGUUUUAUGAAUUUUUGUGAAGAAAAAUUUAGAAAAAAAUGCUUAAAGUGGUAUUUACUUGAAAUUAUUGAGAGAAAAAUAGGAAGGAAUUAGAGAAAAAUAAUAAGAAAAUUUGAAAAAUAGAUAUUAAUUUCCCUUUGAAUGCAUGUGAUGUCUAGGGUAUCGUUGAGACUCGAAUUUAAACUAUAGAGCGCCUGGCACGAGAAUCGAGGUCAAUCGGGCACGCAUUUUCGAGGAAUCUUGAAUUUAGCCCAAGGUGAGUGGUUCUACCCGAAAAGACUUUAAGUAACAUGUGAAUGGUUUACUGUGAGUGUUCAUCCCUAUGGCUUGGUUUAUUGUGAUGGAUUGUCCAAACGGUUAUUUACACAUGCAUUAAAUUUCGUACGGCAAAUUGCAUACAUCGAAAUGUUGAUUUUAAGCUAUGCAUGUUAUGAUUUUCGACAUUGGCUUAUUUUGUGUCAUCCAUGUGGGACGUGGGUUGGUAACCCGUGACGUAGCCCAGAGUGACAGCACUCGGGAUGCAUACCUAGGAUUAAUGCUAGGUGACCCACUUGGGACGGGGUUGAGACGGACUUCACCCUACGGGACCCAAGUGGCGGGGCUGAGAGUGGACACCACCCCGGUUGUUGGCUCAAGUGGCGGGGUUGCGAGUGGACACCACCCCAGGUUCCUUUGAGCAAUAGCAUUAAUGCCGAGGUGAUGUUAAUUCCGAGGACAGUGCUGAUGUGACACUCUUGGGGCUAGGGUUGCGUUGGGUUUUGGAAUGCUUUUGAGUUGGAGCGUAAAGCCUAACAAUGACAAUGGGGUGAUUCCCGGGUUCAUAUGUCGAGGUUGUCCCUCUUAAGCAGGAUUGUUUUGCCAAUAGGCCGAAGUGGUCGUUUCGUCUUUAGAGAGAUUGCAUUUUUCCCGGUUAGGGUUAAGUGCUAAGUGGGAUUCUCUUAGGCUGGUGCAUGUCGGGAUUUAUCGAUUUUGUAUAUGAUUUUUCAUAUCUGCAUGAAAACGUUUUUGAACUUUCACUUAGAUGAUUUAGCAUCUAAUUUGGACUAUGUCCCUGGAAUAUUCAAA